rnacentral:rRNA from 1 species
GAUGAACGCUGGCGGCGUGCUUAACACAUGCAAGUCGAACGGUGAAGCAGGAGCUCGCUCUUGUGGAUCAGUGGCGAACGGGUGAGUAACACGUGAGCAACCUGCCCCUGACUCUGGGAUAAGCGCUGGAAACGGCGUCUAAUACUGGAUAUGUGAUGUGACCGCAUGGUCUGCAUCUGGAAAGAAUUUCGGUUGGGGAUGGGCUCGCGGCCUAUCAGCUUGUUGGUGAGGUAAUGGCUCACCAAGGCGUCGACGGGUAGCCGGCCUGAGAGGGUGACCAGCCACACUGGGACUGAGCCACGGCCCAGACUCCUACGGGAGGCAGCAGUGGGGAAUAUUGCACAAUGGGCGGAAGCCUGAUGCAGCAACGCCGCGUGAGGGAUGACGGCCUUCGGGUUGUAAACCUCUUUUAGCAGGGAAGAAGCGAAAGUGACGGUACCUGCAGAAAAAGCACCGGCUAACUACGUGCCAGCCGCCGCGGUAA